CCUGAUCCUGGGAAUAACCCUCGGAAACGAGGGCUAAUACCGAAUGUGGCGAACGACCGGUUGGUCGCUCGCUAAAGGUGGCCUCUUCUAUGCUGCCGGGUUGGGAUCGGCCCGCGUCCCAUUAGCUAGUUGGUGAGGUAACGGCUCACCAAGGCCACGAUGGGUAGCCGGCCUGAGAGGGUGUACGGCCACACUGGCACUGAGACAAGGGCCAGUCCCCUAUGGGAGGCGCAGGCGGGAAUAGUUCACAAUGGGCGAAAGCCUGAUGACGCGACGCCGCGUGAGCGAAGAAGACCUUCGGGUUGUAAAGCUCUGUCAGGAGGGAAGAAGGCUCUACGGGUCAAUAGCCCGUGGGAUUGACGGUACCUCCAGAGGAAGCCCCGGCUAAAUACGUGCCAGCAGCCGCGGUAAUACGUAUGGGGCAAGCGUUGUCCGGAUUUACUGGGCGUAAAGGGCGCGUAGGCGGUUUGUUAAGUCGAAGGUGAAAUCCUCGGGCUCAACUCGAGAAUUGCCUUCGAUACUGGCAAACUAGAGUGGCGGAGAGGAAAGCGGAACUCUUGGUGUAACGGUGGAAUGUGUAGAUAUCAAGAGGAACACCGGUGGCGAAGGCGGCUUUCUGGACGCACACUGACGCUCAGGCGCGAAAGCGUGGGUAGCAAACAGGAUUAGAUACCCUGGUAGUCCACGCCAUAAACGAUGGGUACUAGGUGUCGGGGGUAUCGACCCCUCCGGUGCCGCAGUUAACGCACUAAGUACCCCGCCUGGGGAUUAUGGUCGCAAGGCUGAAACUCAAAGGAGUUGACGGGGCCCCGCACAAGCGGUGGAGCAUGUGGUUUAAUUCGACGCAACGCGAAGAACCUUACCUGGGCUUGACAUGCUUGGGACAGCGCUGGAAACAGCGUCUCUCCUUCGGGAGCCCUUGCACAGGUGCUGCAUGGCUGUCGUCAGCUCGUGUCGUGAGAUGUUGGGUUAAGUCCCGCAACGAGCGCAACCCUCGUUACUAGUUGCCAUCAGUUCGGCUGGGCACUCUAGUGAGACUGCCGGUGAUANACCGGAGGAAGGUGAGGAUGAUGUCAAGUCAUCAUGGCCCUUACGCCCAGGGCUACACACGUGCUACAAUGGUCGGCACAAAG
rnacentral:rRNA from 1 species